rnacentral:rRNA from 1 species
CAAGCAGUGGAGUAUGUGGUUUAAUUCGAAGCAACGCGAAGAACCUUACCAGGUCUUGACAUCCCGAUGUAACGCCUAGAGAUAGGCGCCCUCUUCGGAGCAUUGGAGACAGGUGGUGCAUGGUUGUCGUCAGCUCGUGUCGUGAGAUGUUGGGUUAAGUCCCGCAACGAGCGCAACCCUUGAUCUUAGUUGCCAGCAUGUUAUGGUGGGCACUCUAAGAUGACUGCCGGUGACAAACCGGAGGAAGGUGGGGAUGACGUCAAAUCAUCAUGCCCCUUAUGACCUGGGCUACACACGUACUACAAUGGUCGGUACAACGGGAAGCGAAGCCGCGAGGUGGAGCGAAUCCUUAUAAGCCGAUCUCAGUUCGGAUUGCAGGCUGCAACUCGCCUGCAUGAAGUCGGAAUUGCUAGUAAUCGCGGAUCAGCAUGCCGCGGUGAAUACGUUCCCGGGUCUUGUACACACCGCCCGUCACACCACGAGAGUUUACAACACCCGAAGUCGGUGGGGUAACCCGCAA